UACGUAGGGGGCUAGCGUUGUCCGGAUUUAUUGGGCGUAAAGAGCGUGUAGGCGGCCAAGUAGGUCCGGUGUGAAAACUCGAGGCUUAACCUCGAGAUGUCAUCGGAAACCAUUUGGCUAGAGUCCGGAAGAGGAAAGUGGAAUUCCUGGUGUAAGCGGUGAAAUGCGCAGAUAUCAGGAAGAACACCAAUGGCGAAAGCAGCUUUCUGGGACGGUACUGACGCUGGAGAACGCGAAAGCGUGGGGAGCGAACAGG
rnacentral:rRNA from 1 species